rnacentral:rRNA from 1 species
CCUACGGGAGGCAGCAGUAGGGAAUAUUGGGCAAUGGAGGCAACUCUGACCCAGCCAUGCCGCGUGCAGGAAGACGGUCCUCUGGAUUGUAAACUGCUUUUGAAUGGGAAGAAUGUGCUCCUUGCGAGGGGUAAUGACGGUACCAUUAGAAUAAGCCACGGCUAACUACGUGCCAGCAGCCGCGGUAAUACGUAGGUGGCGAGCGUUAUCCGGAUUUAUUGGGUUUAAAGGGUGCGUAGGCGGCUUAAUAAGUCGGUGGUUAAAAGUAGCAGCUUAACUGUUUUACAUGCCAUCGAUACUGUUGAGCUUGAGAUAUUUGGAGGCAGCUAGAAUUUCCGGUGUAGCGGUGAAAUGCAUAGAUACCGGAAGGAAUACCAAUUGCGAAGGCAGGUUGCUACGAAUAAACUGACGCUGAUGCACGAAAGCGUGGGGAUCAAACAGGAUUAGAUACCCUGGUAGUCCACGCCGUAAACGAUGAUUACUAGUUGUUGGGGUUUAAGCCUCAGUGACCAAGGGAAACCGAUAAGUAAUCCACCUGGGAGUACGCCGGCAACGGUGAAACUCAAAGGAAUUGACGG